CGUAGGAGCAAGCGUUGUCCGGAAUUACUGGGCGUAAAGGGCUCGUAGGUGGUUGAGUAAGUCAGAUGUGAAAUCUCAGGGCCCAACCCUGAGCCUGCAUUUGAUACUGCUCUGACUAGAGUCCGGUAGGGAGUGCGGAACUCCUGGUGUAGCGGUGAAAUGCGCAGAUAUCAGGAAGAACACCGACAGCGAAGGCAGCACUCUGGGCCGGUACUGACACUGAGGAGCGAAAGCAUGGGUAGCAAACAGGAUU
rnacentral:rRNA from 1 species